rnacentral:rRNA from 1 species
UACGUAGGGUGCGAGCGUUGUCCGGAAUUAUUGGGCGUAAAGAGCUCGUAGGCGGUUUGUCGCGUCUGCCGUGAAAGUCCGGGGCUCAACUCCGGAUCUGCGGUGGGUACGGGCAGACUAGAGUGAUGUAGGGGAGACUGGAAUUCCUGGUGUAGCGGUGAAAUGCGCAGAUAUCAGGAGGAACACCAGUGGCGAAGGCGGCUCACUGGCCCGGUACUGACGCUGAGGUGCGAAAGCGUGGGGAGCAAACAGG